UACGUAGGUGGCAAGCGUUGUCCGGAUUUAUUGGGGGUAAAGCGCGCGCAGGUGGUUCGUUGCGUCCGAGGUGAAAUCUCCCGGCUCAACUGGGAGGGGUCUUCGGAUACGGGCGGACUAGAGGAGAGCAGAGGUAGGCGGAAUGCUGGGUGUAGUGGUGAAAUGCGUAGAUAUCCAGCGGAACACCAGUGGCGAAGGCGGCCUACUGGGCUCCACCUGACACUGAGGCGCGAAAGCGUGGGGAGCAAACGGG
rnacentral:rRNA from 1 species